rnacentral:rRNA from 1 species
UGCAGUCGAACGGUAAGGCCCCAGCUUGCUGGGGUACACGAGUGGCGAACGGGUGAGUAACACGUGGGUGACCUGCCCCGCACUUCGGGAUAAGCCUGGGAAACUGGGUCUAAUACCGGAUAGGACCGCACCGUGAGGGUGUGGUGGAAAGUUUUUCGGUGUGGGAUGGGCCCGCGGCCUAUCAGCUUGUUGGUGGGGUAAUGGCCUACCAAGGCGGCGACGGGUAGCCGGCCUGAGAGGGUGGACGGCCACAUUGGGACUGAGACACGGCCCAGACUCCUACGGGAGGCAGCAGUGGGGAAUAUUGCACAAUGGGCGGAAGCCUGAUGCAGCGACGCCGCGUGGGGGAUGACGGCCUUCGGGUUGUAAACUCCUUUCACCAUCGACGAAGGUUUUCUGACGGUAGAUGGAGAAGAAGCACCGGCUAACUACGUGCCAGCAGCCGCGGUAAUACGUAGGGUGCGAGCGUUGUCCGGAAUUACUGGGCGUAAAGAGCUCGUAGGUGGUUUGUCGCGUCGUCUGUGAAAUUCCGGGGCUUAACUCCGGGCGUGCAGGCGAUACGGGCAUAACUUGAGUACUGUAGGGGAGACUGGAAUUCCUGGUGUAGCGGUGAAAUGCGCAGAUAUCAGGAGGAACACCGGUGGCGAAGGCGGGUCUCUGGGCAGUAACUGACGCUGAGGAGCGAAAGCAUGGGUAGCGAACAGGAUUAGAUACCCUGGUAGUCCAUGCCGUAAACGGUGGGCGCUAGGUGUAGGGGUCUUCCACGACUUCUGUGCCGUAGCUAACGCAUUAAGCGCCCCGCCUGGGGAG